GCGCCGCAGGAUGGGUCUGCGGCCGAUUAGGUAGUUGUUGGGGUAACGGCCCAACAAGCCUGUAAUCGGUACGGGUUGUGGGAGCAAGAGCCCGGAGAUGGAUUCUGAGACAUGAAUCCAGGCCCUACGGGGCGCAGCAGGCGCGAAAACUUUACAAUGCGGGAAACCGUGAUAAGGGAACCCCGAGUGCCCGUAGAAUCGGGCUGUUGAUCUGUGUAAAAAGCAGGUAAAGAAAGGGCCGGGCAAGACCGGUGCCAGCCGCCGCGGUAAUACCGGCGGCUCGAGUGGUGGCCACUAUUACUGGGCUUAAAGCGUUCGUAGCUGGGUUGUUAAGUCUCUUGGGAAAUCCACCGGCUCAACCGAUGGGCGACCAGGGGAAACUGGCAUUCUAGGGACCGGGAGAGGUGAGAGGUACUCCAGGGGUAGGAGUGAAAUCCUGUAAUCCUUGGGGGACCACCGAUGGCGAAGGCAUCUCACCAGAACGGCUCCGACAGUGAGGAACGAAAGCUGGGGGAGCAAACCGGAUUAGAUACCCGGGUAGUCCCAGCUGUAAACGAUGCGCGUUAGGUGUAUCGGUGACCACGAGUUACCGAGGUGCCGAAGGGAAACCGGAAACGCG
rnacentral:rRNA from 1 species